rnacentral:rRNA from 1 species
UACGGGGGGGGCAAGCGUUGUUCGGAAUUACUGGGCGUAAAGGGCUCGUAGGCGGCCAACUAAGUCAUACGUGAAAUCCCUCGGCUUAACCGAGGAAGUGCUUUCCGAACUACUGGGCUUGAAUACUGGAGAGGGUCGCGGAAUUCCCGGUGUAGAGGUGAAAUUCGUAGAUAUCGGGAGGAACACCAGUGGCGAAGGCGGCGACCUGGACAGAUAUUGACGCUGAGGUGCGAAAGCGUGGGGAGCAAACAGGG